rnacentral:rRNA from 1 species
AAUAGAUACCCGGGUAGUCCACGCCGUAAACGAUGGAUACUAGCUGUUCGGUCGCAAGAUUGAGUGGCUAAGCGAAAGUGAUAAGUAUCCCACCUGGGGAGUACGAACGCAAGUUUGAAACUCAAAGGAAUUGACGGGGGCCCGCACAAGCGGUGGAGCAUGUGGUUUAAUUCGAUGAUACGCGAGGAACCUUACCAAGGCUUAAAUGUAUAUUGACAGGACUGGAAACAGUUUUUUCUUCGGACAAUUUACAAGGUGCUGCAUGGUUGUCGUCAGCUCGUGCCGUGAGGUGUCAGGUUAAGUCCUAUAACGAGCGCAACCCCUGUUGUUAGUUGCCAGCGAGUCAAGUCGGGAACUCUAACAAGACUGCCAGUGUAAACUGUGAGGAAGGUGGGGAUGACGUCAAAUCAUCACGGCCCUUACGCCUUGGGCUACACACGUGCUACAAUGGCCGGUACAGAGAGCAGCCACUGCGCGAGCAGGAGCGAAUCUAUAAAACCGGUCACAGUUCGGAUCGGAGUCUGCAACUCGACUCCG